UCAUUAGAUACCACCGCCCGUCACACCAUGAGAGUCGAUAACACCCGAAGCCUGUGAGCUAACCGCAAGGGGGCAGCAGUCGAAGGUGGGGUUGAUGAUUGGGGUGAAGUCGUAACAAGGUACC
rnacentral:rRNA from 1 species